GUUAUUAAUUAAGUUUUAAAUUUUGGAAAAUAGUUUGAGCGUGUUGCUGUUAUAAUGUAGAUAUUUUGAUUGGCUAUAUAAAUAUUCUAUGAAUUUGUCAUUACAGUAACAGUAUUUAAAAUUACAGCCGCGGAGACCAGAUUAUAGCAUACGAUGAGCGGUGAUAUUAUAGUUAAGGUUUUGAAGGUGAAUGAAUUGGCUCAGAUCGAAUUCGUAUAUAGGAAUGCCUUCUUGGUUAUACUUAUGAUGAACUUAGAUUGCAGUGAGAGGAAACUUAGAUAGGUUUGCAGUCAAAAUUGAGAAAGAUUUUGAGAGGAGUGAGAAGAAACUUAGAUUGCAGUGAACAGAGUCUUAGGGCUUUUAAGCUUACCCUUAACAAUUUGCUGGUUCAAAAUCAAUCGGAUGUUAUCCGCUGGCGAUGGAAUUCCGGAAAUAGGUUUACGGUCAAAUCCGUAUAUUCGUUAAUGAGGAGUGGGGGUGUUGGCGAUACUGUGACGCUCGCUAUUUGG
rnacentral:lncRNA from 1 species